rnacentral:tRNA from 4 species
GGUGAGGUGGCCGAGUGGUCGAAGGCGCACGCCUGGAAAGUGUGUAUACGGCAACGUAUCGAGGGUUCAAAUCCCUCCCUCACCGCCA